GCUGGGCGUGGUGGCACACGCCUGUAAUCCCAGCUACUUGGGAGGCUGAGGCAGGGGAAUUGCUUGAGCUUGGGAGGCAGAGGUUGCAGUGAGCAGAGAUCGUGCCACUGCACUCUAGCCUGGCUGACAGAGUGAGACUCUGUCUCAU
ensembl:misc_RNA Metazoa_SRP Metazoan signal recognition particle RNA